rnacentral:rRNA from 1 species
CCUACGGGAGGCAGCAGUGGGGGAUAUUGCACAAUGGGGGAAACCCUGAUGCAGCGACGCCGCGUGGGUGAAGAAGCGCCUCGGCGCGUAAAGCCCUGUCAGCAGGGAAGAAAAUGACGGUACCUGAAGAAGAAGCCCCGGCUAACUACGUGCCAGCCGCCGCGGUAAUACGUAGGGGGCAAGCGUUAUCCGGAUUUACUGGGUGUAAAGGGGGCGCAGACGGCGAUGCAAGCCAGGAGUGAAAGGCCGGGGCCCAACCCCGGGACUGGUCUUGGAACUGCGUGGCUAGAGUGCAGGAGGGGCAGGCGGAAUUCCUGGUGUAGGGGUGAAAUGCGUAGUUAUCAGGAGGAACACCGGUGGCGAAGGCGGCCUGCUGGACUGCAACUGACGUUGAGGCCCGAAGGCGUGGGGAGCAAACAGGAUUAGAUACCCUUGUAGUC